CACAUCAAUAAGCGGAGGAAAAGAAACCAACAGGGAUUGCCUUAGUAGCGGCGAGUGAGCGGCAAAAGCUCAAAUUUGAAAUCUGGCGUAUUCUGCGUCCGAGUUGUAAUUUGAAGAAGGAUACUUUGGGGUUGGCUCUUGUCUAUGUUUCUUGGAACAGAACGUCACAGAGGGUGAGAAUCCCGUGCGAUGAGAAGCCCAAUUCCGUGUAAAGUGCCUUCGAAGAGUCGAGUUGUUUGGGAAUGCAGCUCUAAGUGGGUGGUAAAUUCCAUCUAAAGCUAAAUAUUGGCGAGAGACCGAUAGCGAACAAGUACAGUGAUGGAAAGAUGAAAAGAACUUUGAAAAGAGAGUGAAAAAGUACGUGAAAUUGUUGAAAGGGAAGGGCUUGAGAUCAGACUUGGUAUUUUGUAUGUCUUGCUUUCGGGUGGGGCCUCUGCAGUUUACUGGGCCAGCAUCGGUUCGGGUGGUAGGACAAUUGCGAAGGAACGUGGCACUGCUUCGGUGGUGUGUUAUAGCCUUUGUGGAUACUGCCUGUCUGGACCGAGGACUGCGUCAUUUGACUAGGAUGCUGGCAUAAUGAUCUUAAGUCGCCCGUCUUGAGCCCACGAACCA
rnacentral:rRNA from 1 species